GGAUGUGAGGGCCAUCUGGCCGCGACAUCUGUCACCCGAUUGGUCGCCAGGGUUGAUUCGGCUGACCUGGCUGGCUAGGCGGGUGUCCCCUUCCUCCCUCACGGCUCCACGUGCGUCCCUCCCGAAGCUGCGACCUUCCCCUUCCCCGCUAGAGGAGGACCGGUCUUGGUCAAGGGUCAAGGUAGCUGCGCACCCCUGCCAGAACCUCCAAACAAGCUCUCAAAGUUAAGUGGGGGAAAAAGCUGCCCCUUUAACUGGCUGCCAUUCUGCCUGCCUUAACCGGACACGGUGGCAGACUUG
rnacentral:snRNA from 1 species